UACGAAGGGUGCAAGCGUUAUUCGGAGUUACUGGGCGUAAAGAGCGCGUAGGCGGCUUGUUAAGUCAUUAGUUAAAUUCCCCGGCUCAACCGGGGACGUGCUGAUGAUACUGAUGAGCUCGAGUUCAAGAGAGAGAAGUGGAAUUCUUGGAGUAGCGGUAAAAUGCGUAGAUCUCAAGAGGAACACCGAUUGCGAAGGCAGCUUCUUGGCUUGAUACUGACGCUGAGGCGCGAAAGCGUGGGGAGCAAACAGG
rnacentral:rRNA from 1 species